UACGAAGGGGGCUAGCGUUGCUCGGAAUCACUGGGCGUAAAGGGUGCGUAGGCGGGUCUUUAAGUCAGGGUGAAUCCUGGAGCUCAACUCCAGAACUGCCUUUGAUACUGAAGAUCUUGAGUUCGGGAGAGGUGAGUGGAACUGCGAGUGUAGAGGUGAAAUUCGUAGAUAUUCGCAAGAACACCAGUGGCGAAGGCGGCUCACUGGCCCGAUACUGACGCUGAGGCACGAAAGCGUGGGAGCAACAGGA
rnacentral:rRNA from 1 species